UACACGAGCGGCGAACGGGUGAGUAACACGUGAGUAAUCUGCCCUCCACUUCGGGAUAAGCCUCGGAAACGGGGUCUAAUACCGGAUAUGACCACUUCAUGCAUGUGAUGGUGGUGGAAAGUUUUUCGGUGGGGGAUGUGCUCGCGGCCUAUCAGCUUGUUGGUGGGGUAAUGGCCUACCAAGGCUUCGACGGGUAGCCGGCCUGAGAGGGUGACCGGCCACACUGGGACUGAGACACGGCCCAGACUCCUACGGGAGGCAGCAGUGGGGAAUAUUGGACAAUGGGCGGAAGCCUGAUCCAGCAACGCCGCGUGAGGGAUGACGGCCUUCGGGUUGUAAACCUCUUUCAGUGGGGACGAAGCGCAAGUGACGGUACCCACAGAAGAAGCACCGGCCAACUACGUGCCAGCAGCCGCGGUAAUACGUAGGGUGCGAGCGUUGUCCGGAAUUAUUGGGCGUAAAGGGCUCGUAGGCGGUUUGUCGCGUCGGGAGUGAAAACACUGGGCUUAACUCAGUGCUUGCUUCCGAUAC
rnacentral:rRNA from 1 species